GGUUUCUUCAUCUUUGCUGAAGUCGAAGUGGCAAAUAUAACUACGACAAGAACAUCCAGCCAUAACUACCUUCAUUUUUGUCGUAGCUAUAAUUGUAACAAUAAUAGUAUACAAAUAUGUUUAAGGGCUUGAUGUCGAUGGCUCUUAUAUUUCUUAAUGCCUAAAGCAACUGGGGCAUUGUGGUUAUGCUUUUAGGACUUCAUCUUUCCAUCUGGGUAAUUCUACAGGUGCAUGUUGACAUUGAGAUGACUGGUUAAUCAUCUUCAUGAAUGGGAAGCAAAAUACAGAAGUAGGAGUGAUUUGUACACUUAAAGCUCGCAAAAUCGAGUGCCGGGUGAGUUCCCCAAGAUUGCAGUGUUUUUCCAUUGUCGCUCAUGAACAUUCCUUUCCUUUGCAGCGUAUGAUGCCUCCCUCCGUAUGGAACACCGCCACCGUCAAUUGUCAUGCAUCCUCAUCGAGUGUAUGCUCGUCCAUCUGUUCCACCGGGUUCUCACCAGUGAAGUCCUUAAGCUACGCCUUCUCCAAAUAACAAUGCUGAGGCCUCUGUGAGCUCCCUACUAAGAUUUCGCAAUCAAUGGUUAUGUAUGACAUCAGAUUCACACGUGAAAUGAGCAAGGAAAAAAGCCCCAUCCAGGGCUCAAAAGGAAGUUUAGGCAGUUUGAAUAUGAUCACAGGCAAGAGCAAACAAUAAUCCUGGUAAAACAUCGGGGGCCUCGGCCAAUGGAGGCUUCUCUCAGAGGUAUGGUCCGAUGCUUGCACAGGAAUUUUGAUUUUUACUAACCAGUUCCUCUGGGUAGUCAUACUCCAGCAAGUCUUGCUGAUCCUAUCAUUAAGGAAAACUAGUGUCAACACCGUGCAAAGCACGGCAUAUUUUUUCCGCUACAGAAUCCCGGUUUUAACUGCUACAAUAUUGAAUUUUUUGAAUUGCUACAGUAACAUUUUUAUCAAAACGUCGCUUUAUCCAGUUUCGUUUUGCUACAGUAACAAUGCUACAUAAAAAUCCUACUGUAGCAUGAAUAAUGAAUCUUGGGUUCUCCCAUUUGUAUAGAGGAGUAGAUGUGGCUUUUGCAGCGGCGAAAGUGGACGUGAAGAUUCGAGCGAAGGAAGUGCUGUGAAUUCGCAAGACAUAAGAUCCAUUAUACAUGUUCUUUUAUGCAUAUGCCAUGAUGAGUCCAGAAAGCCAAGCAGGAUUCUCAACCGAAGACAUCUGGUGCUCGAUGCUCGUGUGACGACCGUAGGGUAUGCAUUUUUAAGUUAGCAUCCCACAUCCCUCUUAUGUAGUUGAUAAACUUAUCAAUGCAUCAAAUUUGACCGUAGGGUAUGCUACG